rnacentral:rRNA from 1 species
UACGUAGGGGGCAAGCGUUGUCCGGAUUUAUUGGGCGUAAAGAGCGUGUAGGCGGCCUGAAAGGUCAGCUGUGAAAACUCGAGGCUCAACCUCGAGACGUCGGUUGAAACCAUCUGGCUAGAGUCCGGAAGAGGAGUGUGGAAUUCCCGGUGUAGCGGUGAAAUGCGCAGAUAUCAGGAGGAACACCGAUGGCGAAGGCAGGUCUCUGGGCAUCUACUGACGCUGAGGUGCGAAAGCAUGGGGGAGCGAACAGG